rnacentral:rRNA from 1 species
GAUCCUGGCUCAGAACGAACGCUGGCGGCAUGCCUAACACAUGCAAGUCGAACGAGACCUUCGGGUCUAGUGGCGCACGGGUGCGUAACGCGUGGGAAUCUGCCCCUUGGUUCGGAAUAACAGCGAGAAAUUGCUGCUAAUACCGGAUAAUGACGUAAGUCCAAAGAUUUAUCGCCAAGGGAUGAGCCCGCGUAGGAUUAGCUAGUUGGUGUGGUAAAGGCGCACCAAGGCGACGAUCCUUAGCUGGUCUGAGAGGAUGAUCAGCCACACUGGGACUGAGACACGGCCCAGACUCCUACGGGAGGCAGCAGUGGGGAAUAUUGGACAAUGGGCGAAAGCCUGAUCCAGCAAUGCCGCGUGAGUGAUGAAGGCCUUAGGGUUGUAAAGCUCUUUUACCCGGGAUGAUAAUGACAGUACCGGGAGAAUAAGCUCCGGCUAACUCCGUG